UUGGUGUCAUGCUCAUAUCUCCCUUUAGACAGCUAUCUGGGACUAUAUUUCAGUUAUACCUGAUGAAAACAUGGGCUAUCACCAAGGGAAAUUUUCCUUCCUCCCCUUGUUACCCUUAGCGGCUGGUGCUCACUCUCCCUUGAUCCCUUGUGCUGGUGCUAGUACUCCUGUUAGUGAAGCAAGGAGCUGAAUUUGGGAAGUAAUCUGUCUGACCUAUCCGAAGGAACUGGUUUGCAGCAAGCUCAGAUCUUCCUCUAGAGGAGCUUUCUCUCUGUUGACCAUACAAAGAACUUAGACCUGCUUAGAUCAGCUGCUGAAGCCUUAGAUGACUCAUAUGAGGACAUUUUGAUAUUGAAUGGACAUGUGCAUAACUGAUGAAGUCAGUAGUAAGAGUGACUAAUUUUAAGUAGUCAUGUAACUUAAGAGAGCCUGUAUAGCUUUGGAGAAGAAUUCCCUCCGUAUUAUCAGAAGGAUCAGGGUGGCUGUCUUGCAGUUCUCAGUGACUUCACAUGGGAUACACAGAUCAGACAACCCAAAAGAGCUCUACUUAGAUAAAAUGGGAGAUGCUGCUCUGGUGUCAGUAUUUAAUUACUAUGGCUACUUCUGUACUAUUAAAGAAAACUGAUGAGGGCUGAAUCUCUGGCCAGAAGCUAAGUGCCAGCACAUAACUCCCAUGCCUGUGGCCAACCUGCCUUGUCCUGCAGAAGAUGGUGUCUAUCUCUGGGCUGCCUGCUGGGAGUGUGCAUGCUGUUUCCAAGUCUUUUUGUGGUAUUGCCUGGAGGAACACAACACCUCACCAUCCAAGCCUGUGCCAGGUUUCAUUGUUUACAGCUUCAGAUUUUUCCAGGAGCAUAAAAUCCAGGAAGGACAAGGAGCAGUUUUUUAACCAUGUUCAGCUACAGCACCUGGCUGAUAGCGCAUUCUGCUGGGAUCCAUGGGCAUCCUGGAAUAUCUACAUUCAAUACAUAUUGGAUAACGUCAGCUAUAUUUAUUGCAUUUAUGACUGUGGAUCUACAGAUACAGAUGAGAUAUGGCAGCUAAAAGGAGCCAUCAGACAAAAGGGCAGGAGAUGAAGCUAAAAAUCCUUUUCAAAAGGCAGAGAAAAGAAAGGAACAACAACAAAAAAAUGCCAAAAGUAAUACAAAAUGUAAGAUUGGUGUAAGAGCUAUCCGAAGAAUUCUCUUGCAUUGUGGACCUAUCCGGCAUCCACAUACCUGAAUUUAAAGGAUUCUGGAACUGCGCUGUUAAUGGCUUUGCAAAUGCUUGUUUGCCUCCAUGUGAGGGAAGAUGGAUGUGUGAAGAGUCACCCAAGUUCCAGGGAGAAAUUGAGCAAGAUGGAUUAGUCCCACCUCAGCCUGACACCUGGGGCACAUCCUUAUCUAAGGGGGUAAAUGGAUCAGAAUGUUACUGCCCGUUUAUUUAUUCUCCUUCUGUUUGGAGACUUUCCCUGAUUAAUUACUCUCUAGUAAUUGCUGCUGUUAACUAAUGUCAAAUCUAAUUAACCUGGAGUCCCUUCAUCCAGUACCUCUACCAUCCCUUUGCAAAGACGAGAAGGUCAUCAGCUAGGAGGUUCUGAGGAUGGCCACACUUUACCCAUUCGUUUAUUUGCUUUGGGCCUUGUUUGCUAUUCCUGCUGCAAUGCCUGGCGACAGCUUUCUAGAAUUCCCAUCAAGUCUAAUUGGCCUGCUGAAGCAGCAGUGAACACAAGAUUUAAGAAAUGUUUUCUUUAAAAACUUCUGGUCCUACAGACACUUUGAGAUCAAGUUUCACUCUGCUGAAAUCACACACGAUUCCCUGUGAUUUUCAUGAGAAAUACUGUAAGAAAGUAUUAAAAGAGAAACAUGUCUCAGUGGUUUGGAGUGACUGAUGGCCAGGGGGGUUGAAGAGUGGGUGGUGGUAACAUAGCAAGGCAUCUACAGAAUCUUUAGAGGUUGCCAAAAUUAACACAUACAAGGUAUUCAGUAUCAAAGUUUUCAAUAUUUGGCUCCAUAAACACAAUACCGGUUGCAAAAACAAAGCUAAGGAUUUCAUGCUGAUUACUUAAAUAAAAAUUGUUUAAUUAUGAACAUUUGGGAAAUAAAGUUAUGAAGAACUGACCAAUAUUGCUACGGCUUCCUAGUGUUCAUACCAGACUGUGAACACUGUGCCAGCAUCUUACUGCUUAGCAUACUGUAGAUUCAGCUAUGGUAAACAGUUCCAAGGCUUAACAUGGUUCAGGCAGAUAGUUCAAUGCAGAAGGAGGUCUAGCUCAUCAUUAAGGCUUGUUGCUUUUAACUUCAAUCAGUUGUGGACAAUAUAGUUCAAUAAAAGUUGCCAGCAUCAUCUGUAGAGGAGCUGAUCAAGCAGGUUAAGUUCCUGUCUUCUUAACUUGAUUUUGUCUGCUUUUCAGGCAUU